rnacentral:rRNA from 1 species
GUGGGGAAUUUUGGACAAUGGGCGCAAGCCUGAUCCAGCAAUGCCGCGUGCAGGAAGAAGGCCUUCGGGUUGUAAACUGCUUUUGUACGGAACGAAACGGUCCGGGUUAAUACCCUGGGCUAAUGACGGUACCGUAAGAAUAAGCACCGGCUAACUACGUGCCAGCAGCCGCGGUAAUACGUAGGGUGCAAGCGUUAAUCGGAAUUACUGGGCGUAAAGCGUGCGCAGGCGGUUUUGUAAGACAGGCGUGAAAUCCCCGGGCUCAACCUGGGAAUUGUGCUUGUGACUGCAAGGCUGGAGUGCGGCAGAGGGGGAUGGAAUUCCGCGUGUAGCAGUGAAAUGCGUAGAUAUGCGGAGGAACACCGAUGGCGAAGGCAAUCCCCUGGGCCUGCACUGACGCUCAUGCACGAAAGCGUGGGGAGCAAACAGGAUUAGAUACCCCAGUAGUCC